rnacentral:lncRNA from 1 species
AUGAAGGUGUUUUACUUGAAACCAGUGCUGACCAGUAUUGAUUUAAACCUAAAUGAAAUCACGUUGUACACACAAUGCCAUCAAAACACGUCGUCUAAUCACCGUCUCUGCUCCUGUAGUGAAACUGAGGCCAGAUUCCUUCAGGGGAAAAUCGACAGUGAAGCUCUUGGACCAGCGGACUCCUGCCACUCUUCAGCUCAGCAGUCGACAACUUCAAAUCACAAAUCCAGUAAAUGUUUAAAGAGGCAGCGCACGUCCGGCAGCCAAAGCGAGGAGCCGUGUGCCAGGAAGAAGAGGAGAGACUCGGGGCCGGACCAGGCUUUUGAAGUCGGUAGUUUUUCUCAAGAAGAUUCCUCACCUGGUGCCAUGUGUGAUAGCCCCGCAAUGUUCACCCCUCCGUACACCCCCUCCUCCUGUAGCUCCACCCUUAGCCAUGACCUCCUUUUGGAUGUACUCUCUUCCCCAGAGGCCUCUCCGUCCUAUUUCACCUACCCAACAGUGGCUCCUACGUGUGGACAAUCUCCCUCCCAGUCCCCUCUGUAUUUACCCCCCAUACAACAAUAUGAACAUGCCCCUUUAGGCUCCUUCAUUGCCCUUUCUCCUCUUCCCUCCUCUCCAUCUCCCUCUUAUGAUGCCUUCCCAGCUUGUACACCAAACGCCCGAUUAGUUCCAGAUUGCCUCUCCGUGUCCUGCGAGAGUCCGACGGAGUGCACCUUGCAUCAAGACGACUACAACCUGUUGGAGCAACCACAAGGGGGCAGUGUUGUCCAUCAUGUUCCCGAGCAUGCUUUGCCCAUGCAUCCAAGUCUGCUUACUCCGAGCCAGUCUCCCACCACCCAGGGGACAUUUGAAUACAGCGAGAGGGAGAGAGAGGAGAUCAGCAUCCUGGCUCAACAAAUUUCCUCCCUGGCGAGUAGUUUUGACAUAUUUCGCACUUUAAGCCCAGUGCAAAACACCCCGUCGUCAACGGUGAAUACCCAAACUCUGCCUUGCCGUUUCCCCCAACAAAUUCCCCUCUCCCCCGGGUUCAAAGCCGAGCCUGCCCUGGACGAUUGUAUAUUCGACAGCAUUUUCAGCGACUUGGACUUGGUGACCAGAAAGAGCAGCAGUAGAAAUGCCUCUUGUCAAGAACAGCAGCCUCUGGGUCUCUCUCCUGAAAUCACAGAGCCGGCAGAUGUCAGAAUAAACAUGGGCCAAAACAAUGGGUUGCAUCAACUCAACCACUACAUCCACAACAGCCUUCAGCGAGGUGCG